rnacentral:rRNA from 1 species
UGGGGAAUCUUGGACAAUGGGCGAAAGCCUGAUCCAGCCAUGCCGCGUGAGUGACGAAGGUCUUCGGAUUGUAAAGCUCUUUUGGCGGGGACGAUAAUGACGGUACCCGCAGAAUAAGCCCCGGCUAACUUCGUGCCAGCAGCCGCGGUAAUACGAAGGGGGCUAGCGUUGUUCGGAAUUACUGGGCGUAAAGCGCACGUAGGCGGAUUUGUAAGUCAGGGGUGAAAUCCCGGGGCUCAACCUCGGAACUGCCCUUGAUACUGCAAAUCUCGAGUCCGAUAGAGGUGAGUGGAAUUCCUAGUGUAGAGGUGAAAUUCGUAGAUAUUAGGAAGAACACCAGUGGCGAAGGCGGCUCACUGGAUCGGUACUGACGCUGAGGUGCGAAAGCGUGGGGAGCAAACAGGAUUAGAUACCCCCGUAGUCCCUGAGCGGGCUGGCAAGGCGCAU